UGGGGAAUAUUGCACAAUGGGGGGAACCCUGAUGCAGCAAUGCCGCGUGGGUGAAGAAGCACUCCGGUGCGUAAAGCCCUGUCAGCAGGGAAGAAAAUGACAGUACCUGACCAAGAAGCCCCGGCUAACUACGUGCCAGCAGCCGCGGUAAUACGUAGGGGGCAAGCGUUAUCCGGAUUUACUGGGUGUAAAGGGAGCGCAGGCGGUAUGGCAAGUCAGAUGUGAAAACCCAGGGCCCAACCCUGGGACUGCAUUUGAAACUGCCAUACUGGAGUGCCGGAGAGGUAAGUGGAAUUCCUAGUG
rnacentral:rRNA from 1 species